CAAUAGCGUAUAUUAAAGUUGUUGCGGUUAAAAAGCUCGUAGUUGGAUUUCUGCUGAAGGCAGCCGGUCCAUGUUCGACAUGCGCAUCUGGAUUGACUUCGGCAUCCUCUCAGAUAACGAUUCUGUGCUUGAUUGCAUGGAGCGGAGUUUGAGACUUUUACUUUGAGGAAAAUAGAGUGUUCACGGCAGGCAAUCGCCCUGAAUAUAUUAGCAUGGAAUAAUAAAAUAGGAUCUUGGUUCUAUUUUGUUGGUUUCUAGAACGAAGAUAAUGAUUAAUAGGGACAAUUGGGGGCAUUCGUAUUAACGCGUCAGAGGUGGAAUUCUUGGAUUGCGUUACGACGAACUACUGCGAAAGCAUUUGCCAAGGAUGUUUUCAUUG
rnacentral:rRNA from 1 species